GGCCGGUUAGCUCAGUUGGUCGGAGCGUCGUGCUAAUAACGCGAAUGUCAUGGGUUCGACCCCCGUACCGGCCA
rnacentral:tRNA from 1 species